rnacentral:misc_RNA from 1 species
UUUCCGUCGGUGAACCAGCGGAGGGAUCAUUAAAGAGUCUUCAAAACUCCCAAUCCUUGCGAUCCGUACUCAUUUUGUUAUCGUUGCUUCAGGCGGGUGGGAAGGGGGGGCGCGAAACGUCAUUACCGCCCCGCCCGCCGGGGGCGGCGGGCCCUACAAACCUUAAUAUCUUUACUACCAGGAAACGUCUGAGAAAACAAACAAAAUAAUUAAAACUUUAAACAACGGAUCUCUUGGCUCUGGCAUCGAUGAAGAAAGCAGCAGAUCGGAAGAGCACAC